rnacentral:lncRNA from 1 species
CUUUGCAGGAACCAAAAUGUUAUUCUGAAAAAAAAAUGACAAGGGACAUUAUUCUAGACCUACAGAAUGGCUUAGCCUGAUGAAUAGGUUCUCUGAAUUUACCUAAUUUGACUCUUAACAGCAGCCACAGGAAGCCGACACCAUGGCCCGGAAAAUCUCCCUUCCGCCUUCCUCUCUCCCCUCUCUCUUCUCUCCCUCUCCUUCCUUCCUCCCCUCUCUCUUCCCGCCCCUCACUGCGCCCUUCUCCUCUCUCUCCCCACCGGCUCUCCGUCCCUUGUAAAGCAUGGCUUGGCAGAGGCUGCCCUGCGGAGAGGGUUGUGUUGUCCUCAUCACCUGCGACCCUCACCCUUGUCACACUCAGAAGUGGCCCGGGCCCAGAGUUCCAAGUGCUAAACCACAGUCGCACUCUCUGCUCUACAUGCCCUGUCUGCUGGGACAACUUCAAAGCAUGGCA